rnacentral:rRNA from 1 species
GUGCCAGCCGCCGCGGUAAUACGAGAGGUCCAAACGUUAUUCGGAAUCACUGGGCUUACAGAGUUCGUAGGCGGUACGGAAAGUGGGGUGUGAAAGCCCUCGGCUCAACCGAGGAACUGCGCUCCAAACUACCGUGCUAGAGGAAGAUAGAGGUGAGCAGAACUGAUGGUGGAGCGGUGAAAUGCGUUGAUAUCAUCAGGAAUACCGGAGGCGAAGGCGGCUCACUGGGUCUUUUCUGACGCUGAGGAACGAAAGCUAGGGGAGCAAACGGGAUUAGAAACCCCAGUAGUCC